rnacentral:lncRNA from 1 species
UGGAAAAUCCACUAAUUUUUUUUCCUUCCGAAUAUAAGAAACACUGAAAAGAAGAGGUCUUUGUGCGAGGCAGUUCUCCCCCUUGUCAUUUCUCUGGCUUGUCUGAGUGUGGGAGUGGAAUGGAUCUGUACAAAGCAGAGGACGAAUUGGCUUCUUUAACCAGAACCAGAGGCAGCGCACCUGGCCGGGCGCCCGAAGCAUCACCAGGCUCCUGUGAAAGGCCUGCCCCUCCGGAUUUCCAGCAAGUUCAUCGCCGUGACGUGGAGACUGCACUGGCCACUGGCCCUGCUUGCUGUCCACCCAGCUCGGUGCUGGGUCGGCAGGACCGCCUUGUGUACCGGAGAGUAGCUCAGGACGGCUCUGCCAGCCGUCCAGACGAACGAGGCGCAUCGCGUUCUCUUCCCAACUGGACACAGAGGAGGGGAGGGAAGUGUUUGUGGCAGAGAGAAGUGCUCCGAGGCUCCCUGACCUGCAAAGCUCCCGAAGAGCGAAGAGUGCAAGCUGUCUGCUAGGUGCUGCCAGGAGGUUGGGUCUGCAUUUCGAGUGAGUCAUCUGAAAUUCAGGACUUCCCUGUAAAUGUUUUAUAAUUCAUUUCAUUAAAUAGCUUUUUCCUUGCAUUAAAGGCAUUUACAUCACAUGCAGUGGGAGCAGCAGAGAGCAUGUAGGAUACAGGGACGUGCUCUGUGGGGUUCGAGUGACCUUUCAAGAGACAGUGCAGCAAGGACAGGAGGUGGCGGGAAGGCCGGCCCUGACCCCAUGGCCCGAGGCGAGGGGUGCAGACCCCUGGGGAGAGUGCGGGCUCCCCAGAGCGGGCAGGCUGGGCUCCAGGCGGGGUAUGUCGUGUGAAGUACCCGGGGUUUGCCUGCAGCCCGCAGCUGGGACAGAGGAGCACGUCGAUGGAGCACUGACCAAGAAAAGAGGGCCAACAGCUGGAGGCCACAGCCCAGGACCCUGCCCCGCUCCUUGAGCCUGCAGUCACCCCACAGCGCACACCCACGAGCCCUGAGGGCACCUGGGGUCACUGCAGACAAACCUGCCCAAGGGGACAGGCCGGACUGCAGGGGCCUGGGGGCUGGUCAUCCAGCUCCCGGGUGGUGUCCUUCCCACCCUCCCAAACCCUGUCAGCACAGAGAACGGGUGAGUCAGGGGUGCCAGGGACCCAAGGGAGCCCCUGUGCAGGGGAGCAGAAGAAAACGCCCACAGACGCCACGCCGGGGCGUCACGGGGCCUGGAACCUGCAGAGCUGGGAGAAACGACGUUAUCCCUCAUCUGCGGAUAAGGAAACAGGUUCACAGAGUCUGGGUGCAGAUCAAGGCAAGUCUGCAACUGGACACAAGACAGGACCCUACUCACCCCUCCUGUGACCCAGGGGCGGACAGCACCUGCAACAUCACAGGCUUCUCGGUCAUUGUCUGUGAGGGAGCAAGUGAAGUGAGCCAAGGGCUUAGAGAGCGCUGAGGAUGGGGACACUGCCCCUGAGAGCUCUUUGCAGGACUGGCAGUGGCAAGGCGCGGAGCAGCCCCUGCCAGCCCUGAGCUUGCUGAGGUCCGUCUCGUUUGUUUUCUCAGCUGCGUGACAGACUACGUUUAGCAGCCCUGUUCUGUGCAGCAAGCUUUAGACAGAAAUAAACAGGAUGGACACGGAGAGGACA